rnacentral:tRNA from 1 species
GGGGAGGUGGCUCAGCAGUUAAGAGCACUGGCUGCUCUUCCAGAGGACCUGGGUUCAAUUCCCAGCACCCACA